rnacentral:rRNA from 1 species
GCCUACGGGGGGCAGCAGUGGGGAAUAUUGCACAAUGGGGGAAACCCUGAUGCAGCGACGCCGCGUGAAGGACGAAGUAUUUCGGUACGUAAACUUCUAUCAGCAGGGAAGAAAAUGACGGUACCUGACCAAGAAGCCCCGGCUAACUACGUGCCAGCAGCCGCGGUAAUACGUAGGGGGCAAGCGUUAUCCGGAUUUACUGGGUGUAAAGGGAGCGUAGACGGCCGGGCAAGUCUGAUGUGAAAAACCGGGGCUCAACCCCGGGACUGCAUUGGAAACUGAAUGGCUGGAGGGUCGGAGUGGCA